GUGCCGUUUGCGCAACUGGAUAGCGCAUCGGAUUCCGAUUCCGAAGGUUUAAGAGUUCGAGUCUCUUACGGCACGCCA
rnacentral:tRNA from 1 species